AUGGACUUCACUAAAUUCCUUAUCACACUGCUGCUGGUCUGUCUUCUAAUCUAUGAAUCCUAUGUGGAUGCAGCAUCGGAAGAACAAGAUUUCUCAAGAACUUGUUCAUCUCACCACUGCAGCAAACAUGGACCUGAGAUCCGGUUCCCGUUCCGGCUUUCGAUCAACCCACCAUCAUGUGGUGCACCAGGCAUGCAGUUAUCAUGCUCGGGGCAUGACACAAUCCUGGAUCACCAUGUUCUUGGCCCUUGCAGAGUGACUGAGAUCUAUUACAGGCACCGUGUCAUCAACGUCGUCCCGCUAGUGGAACCAUCAAUGCAAUGCCCACUUCAGAAGCUCAUCUCAAGAAACUUAGCAACUGAUGUCUACGAACAACCUCAAUCAUCAUUUCCUACAACCCUAGUACGUUGUUCAAGAGAUUUCAUACCAAUAGAUCAAGAUAGUAUAGUUGGCCCAGCCUUUUGUCUGGGCAACAACGCUAGUCAAUUCUGGUAUUUGGCAUCAGCUUCUGCAUACAUGUCUGAUGUUCCAUGGGACUGUGUGGCCGUUUCUAAAGAUAUACCGAUACCCUUCACCUAUGAUAAACAUGGCAUAAAUUACGAUGAGUUCACCUUCAAUGAAAAAGCCAAUAGAGUCAUCAACAUUGGUGAAACAACAUUCAAAUGGUACGGCAAUAACAUUACGAAUGCCUGCCAACAGUGUGAAUAUGAAGAUCAACACUGUGGAUUCAACUCACGAACGCAUCAAGCAUUCUGCCAGCAGCAAGGUACGCAUGUCAUCCUAGUUGCAGCCUCAUCUGUAGCUGCAUUUGUAGUUCUUUCAUUGAUUGUGGCCACUGUGAUAUAUCUCUCCUUGAAGUCAAGGUACAAUGAAGAGAUAAAUAUGAAGGUUGAAAUGUUUCUCAAGGCAUAUGGCACAUCGAAACCUACAAGAUACAAUUUCCCUGAUGUUAAGAAGAUAGCAAGAAGGUUCAAGGAUAAACUCGGUCAGGGCGGAUUCGGAAGUGUGUACAAAGGCAAGCUACCAAAUGGAGUACCUGUGGCAGUCAAGAUGCUAGAGAGUUCUACAGGAGAGGGGGAGGAAUUCAUCAAUGAAGUUGCAACCAUUGGACUAAUCCACCAUGCAAAUAUCGUACGCCUCUUGGGCUUUUGCUCUGAAGGAAUGAGGCGGGCUCUUAUUUACGAAUUCAUGCCUAACGAGUCACUGGAGAAAUACAUAUUCUCACACAUUUCCGAUAUUUCUCGACAGCUCCUUGCACCCAACAAAAUGCUAGAUAUUGCUCUAGGCAUUGCCCGAGGAAUAGAAUACCUGCAUCAAGGGUGCAACCAGCGCAUUCUCCACUUUGACAUCAAACCACAUAACAUCUUGCUGGACUACAACUUCAACCCAAAGAUCUCAGACUUUGGCCUUGCCAAGCUGUGUGCAAGGGACCAGAGCAUCGUCACCUUGACUGCAGCAAGAGGCACCAUGGGAUACAUCGCACCAGAGGUAUACUCUCGGAACUUUGGAGGGGUGUCUUACAAGUCGGAUGUAUACAGUUUCGGCAUGCUGGUAUUGGAAAUGGUGAGUGGAAGGAGGAAUUCAGAUCCUGGUGUUGAGAACCAGGACGAGAUAUAUCUCCCGGAGUGGAUCUACGAGAGAGUAAUCAGUGGGCAUGAAUGGGAGCUUACUUUGGAAAUGACAGCAGAAGACAAGGAGAAGAUGAGACAGCUGACUAUUGUGGCACUGUGGUGCAUCCAAUGGAACCCGAAGAAUCGGCCAUCAAUGACAAAGGUGGUAAACAUGUUAACAGGGAGGUUGCAGAACCUGCAGAUUCCCCCCAAGCCCUUUGUGUCGUCUGAAAAUCAUACUGUGCCACAAAACACGAUGAACACAUGA
rnacentral:rRNA from 1 species